rnacentral:lncRNA from 1 species
CCUCGUGCUUCUUCUUCUUCUCCUUCUUUUUCUUCUUCUCUUCACCGUGGGCGGCGCCCUCGCCGCCGCCGACACCGGGGAUCUUCUGCUUGAUCUUGUCCACCAAGCCCUCCUUGUGUUCGCCCUCCUUGUGUUCCCCGCCGUGAUGCUGCUGCUGAUGGUGAACAUCAGUAGUGCCGACACCGGGGAUCUGCUGCUUGAUCUUGUCCACCAAGCCCUCCUUGUGUUCGCCGCCGUGAUACUGCUGCUGAUGGUGGACAUCAGUAGUGUGGUGGUCCCCACUAUGGUGCUCUCCCUUGUGCUUGUCCUCCUCCUUUUGCCCUCCUCCCAUGUGAAGGGCUUCUCCGAUCUUGUGAAUAACUCCUGACAUUUUCCCUUAAAAUGACUCUGUUCCUCUUCUUUUCUUUUCAAUGAAAAAUAGUUGUUUGCGAUCUUCUUCUGGUUGUUGUUGUUCUUGUUGGGUGAUCUUGGCUUGGUAUUUAUAGGCUCCAAAAGGAGGGACUAGAAUUAGGAUUAGAUUAUAGAUUAUUUUAAUACAUUUUAUGGCAAAUUCUGAUUUGGAAAGAUAAGAUUAUCCUUUUGGUUUUCCUUAUUUACCCUUUUGCACCCAUUACGUGUACGCGUCUUCGUGGGCUUUUUGGGUAUUUCAAUUAUAUCGCCAAUGCUAAAUCGACACGUUGCAUAUCAGCCGCGGUACUGCCGUAUGUAGUUGUCCAGAAAUCGAGUCGAUUCUCGAUCGUACAAUAAUUAAAUAAUAUUUCAUACGAAAUGAGUUUAGAUAUAUUUUGAAAAUUUAUUUUUAAUUUAAUUAUACGUGUUAUAUAUUUGUUAAUCGAAUAGAGGUCCCACGUAACAGAGUGUUUCUCUAAUCUUUCAUUGCUUUUAAUUAAUUUUACCCAAAUAAAAAAAAAAAGGAAAAUUUAGAGAGAGAGAGAGAGAUAGCGAAUUAGAAGUUGAUUGUAAUAUCGACACCUGUCAGACAAUCAAAUAUCGUUAGUUAAAAAUCAGUUGUCCAUAGUCAUGGUCAUAGAUGGCGAAAUUGAUACUUAUUUUAAAAAACAAAACAAAACAAAACGAAACGAAACUAAACUAACAGAUGUUGAAAUGCAGUUCCGUGUUAACAGUCUGUGAUGAAUCUUUAUCUUUGAGUAUACCAUUCAAGAAAUUAUCAUUCAAAAAUUUAUUUAAAGCAGCAGCAAAUCACCUUCUAAUUCCUGAAUCAAAUUAAUUCGAUUUUUUUCGAGUCGAUCAAUUCAUUAGAGAAUUAACGGGCUAAGUUAAAGUUUUGUUAGUUAUUUUUUUUUAUAUUCCUUUAGAUGAUAUGAUUGUCAUUGUCUUUCUUUCUCUGGGCAACAAUAAAUACAAGAUGUGCAAAAGCGUAGUGGAACAUAAUUCGAUUAUGGGUAAAGGGAUCAGUCCGCAUAAUGAGGAUAAAGUUUUUCUCUUUAAAAAAAUUUAACCCAAAGAAAAGGUCGUAGUUUGUAAUAGCCGACACGCAGAUAGAUCACAAAGCAUGGCGGUCCUGAUGGCAAUAACUAACUGAUAUCUUCUGCGAUGAGAGGAGAUCACGUGGUUCUGACACGUAUCGCCCCAUCAACUGAUGUUGUGGCUGCAAUCGCGGCCCAGUCUUUAGAGAGAAGAAAGAUCUGUUAUAACGGGACCUACUUUAGCAUCUAUUUACGACAAAGCCCCUAUUUACUCUACUUAGUAGUAAUAAUAGCAAGUGUCGGGCUUGGAUUCCGUGUUGCUUUAAAUAAAUAUCCGCGUAAAAAGAAAAUGCUUCUUUAAUCCCUUCCUUGUAAUUUUUCGACACGUGGAUGGUUGAAAUUAGCGUGCCGACAUCUUAGGAAUUUUAUCUUGGAGACGGGAACACUGCAGUAGGCAAUGCCAUUUUCUUCGGAUGGUGUGUGGUGACAACGCCUUGGAUUUUGACGUGCAAAGAAUUUAAAUUGAAAAAGAAAAAAAGAAAUUACCAGAAUAAGCAUAGAAGAGAUAUUUUUCUUUUUGUCCUUUUUGGAAUGGAAAAAGAGAUCAAGAGAUUGUUCCAGUAAGUAUUACACAUGUCACAGGCUUAUUCAUGCCCCAUUAUGGCAACUUUUAUGCCUCGCGGUGCCCUCGGUUCCAGCAUAAUAGCUAAGACUUCAAUUUUUCUAACAUAUUUUUGUUACAAAUAUGAACGGAGUAAAUGUAUAACUUUAAUCCUUUGAAUAAAGAAAUGGCGGUUCUCCUGCUCGUUAAUCUCACUUGAAUCCCACCCAGGCAAAAUUUCUUUAUUUUAUUUAACAACAAUUUAAAGAAAGAAACUUUUGCCAGGUUGAAUUUCAAGUGAGAUUCAUUCGUGGGAGAAGUGCCAUUUCUUUAUUCAAAAGAUUAUGGUAAUUACAACUUUCAAUUUCGACAUAAAUUAAAAUUAUAGGCUAUACAAUAAAAUUGCCCUAAAUUAGUCCUAAUCAAUUCAGAUUAUAAAUUUAGGUAUAUUUAUUAUUUUAAUAUAUUAAUGUUCUAUAUAUAUAUAUAUAUAUAUAUAUAUAUGUGUGUGUGUGUGUGUAUNNNNNNNNNNNNNNNNNNNNNNNNNNNNNNNNNNNNNNNNNNNNNNNNNNNNNNNNNNNNNNNNNNNNNNNNNNNNNNNNNNNNNNNNNNNNNNNNNNNNNNNNNNNNACAGCAGAAAAUAUUUGCUAUGGAUAAGGAGACAUGGUCCCACGUCCCACCGUCCCAAUGCAUAUUUUGUAUGUUUCCAUCUUUUCUGAAAUUUUAAUAAAUAAAGUUUUUUGACCACUUGGCCAAAGAACCUUACCCUUACACAACUUUGUGGUUGGAGUCCUGUGAUACAUGUAAGAACUUAUUUUUUUUCUUAAUUAUAAUAUUUUAGAAUAUAAUUAAGUGAAGUAGGUUUUUUUUUUAAAUAUGAGUAAAAUAGAUAUUUUUUAAAUAUUAAAGAGAGUAAAAUUUGAAUAAUAAUAUAUUAAAAUUAAUACAAACUAAUUUUAAUAAUUAUUUAAUUAUAAAUAUCAAUUAUAACAUCAUAUAAUAUCAAUUAUAAUAUCGUACAUCUCAAUUAAUUCAAUAAUAAUAAUAAUAAAUGUUUUUUGGGAUAAGUAAACAGUCGCAUGGCGACAAUAGUGGAUCUGGAUUAGAGUGAAGUGGUCCCAAGAGGCUGAGGCUGUGGCUGUGGAGUUCUAAAAGUCAAAAGCUCCACGCACUUUGUUUCAGUACCAUACACACUGAAAAAAUUUGCAUUUGCAAUGACGAAAACUUUUCACGAAAUCAAAACACCUCUAAACUAUUUUGUUAUCGAUAUUUAAUGGAGGGGUUUCCUACCUUUUUAACACUCGAUUCACGCCUUGACGCAUCUCACAGAAAACCUCAUGAUCCCAUUAAUCUUGCGUAACAUAUCUCAAAGCCAAUGCAAGUGAUCUUGUUGCCUACUUCCCUUUGACGAUUCAAAAUUGUUGAAAAUAAUUCUUUUUUUUUUUAACCUCAAGGAAGUGACAAAAUAUAAAAGAAUAUUUUCUACACAUUAAACAUCUAGAUUUUUUUUUCUUUUCUUUUUAGAGUACUUGCACAAACCGUUUCCAAGAGAGACCUUUUUUUUUUUUUUUUUUUUCCGGGCUUGGUUACUAAUUUGGUGUGAAUACUCUAUGGUGAAAAAGGAAUCACAAAGCUGUAAUCAAUUUUUUUGCAUCAUUUAGUUGUAACUUGAACAUUGGGAGGUUUAUAAAGAAUUAAAUUAAUUAUAAUGCCUCUACUAGGAAAAGUUCAGAGUAGCCCUUCACAACUUUUUAAAGGCUUAAUAAUUUUCGCUUUCUUCCUCUCAUAACAUAACAAAAAAUUAAGAGCUUUACUCGUACACGUCCUAUGGCUAUAUAGUAUUGGGUUCUCUACUUCAAUCGGCUAUCUCAAACCGAAGGUUAUUUGGACACACCAGCAGUCACGUUUGGAAACUCUCAAAUGCUUGGAUUGUAAUUCUUGUGGAUGAGAUCAUCUAAAUCUUGGGCCCAAGCCGGACAAUGGGUGGACAAAGAACCCUAAAAUACAGUAAAGCUUCUAACACCCCACUAAAACUCUUAAGAAAUCCUACCUUUUAUUUUUAUAUCUCUUUCUUUUAGAAAUUAUAGAGAAGACAUAGCAUUUUAAUUAUUUUCCCUGCCAUUGAAAAUAAAUUCUGUAAACAUAUUUUUUCAUAAUAAAAUUAUUGUUAUUAGAUAAUUUAUUUCUUCAUUGUUUCAAAAUUAUUAUAAUUUUAUCAACAAAAUUAGUUAUGUCAUAUAUUAGGAUUAAAAUUAAUUAGGAUCCAUAACUUGUAAAGACAUUUUAGUUUAAUUGAAUUCAUAUUUGUCAUUUUAUGUAAUUUUCAAUAAAAAUACGACUAUGAGUGCAAAAGUGGGAUGACAUAAUAUUAAAAGAGUGUGAAAUAAUCGGUAAUUGAAAUGGAUUGAAAUCAUAAUAGAGUAUGAAAAUCAGAAUAAAUUGUUUACUUUAGUUGUAGAAAUCAAAAUUAAAAUAAACCAUAUUAUCAUUGAUGUAUAUAUGUUUUCUUGUAAUCGAAAUGAAUUCUUAUAAGUUACUAUAAGACCCUUAUGGUGUGUUUACUAAUCAGAAAUCAGAAUGGAGUGGAAUUUGAAUAUAGAAUGGUAGGGGUAUUCGCGGAUCGGAUUUUACGGAUUGGACAUUAAUUCAUAUCCGAUCCAUAAUUUUACGGAUUAUAAAUUCUCAACACAAUCCAAAUCCAAUCUAUAUGUUUGCAGAUCGGAUGCGGAUUUGACUCAAUUCAUAUCCAAUCCACUAUUUGACGGAUUGAUUUUGGAAUUAAAAAUUUUUAAUUUUGUCCAAUCUAUGAGGUAAUUAAAUUUAAAAAUCUAAUAUAAAAAUAAUUUAUUAAAUAAAAAAUUAACGUAAAAAUAAUUUUACUACCAAUUAAAUUCAAAAUUGAACAAGAUUUAAAUAAAUUAAUUAUUUAAAUAAAACUAGAAUAAUUUAUUUAAAAUUUUUAAAUAUAACAUAUCGAAAAAAAAUUCAUUUGUUUAGAUUAAUAUAUGAAAAUUAACUAAAAUUAUGAAUUUAAAUGUUGAAAUUUGAGAGCUUGGAUGUAACAGGAAGAAAUUAAGAAACUUGAAGAACUUGAAAAGAAAGUAACAAAUUAAGCUUAACUACCUCUAAUGGUGAAGUGAAACAGUGAUGGUUUGUGCGUGCAAUGGGGUACAAAUUUGGCAUUAUAUGCCAAAAUAUUUUGUUUGGCUUUAGAAUUUUUAAUGUUUAGGAAGCUAUAUUUGUUUAUUUAAUUACUCAAAUAUUUAAUUAUUUUUUAUUUUAUGUUAUUAUUGAAUAAGAUAUAAUAUUGUGUUAAUUUAGCUAUACUUUAAUUAAUUAAUUAAUUUAUUAGUAAGUAGCAUUGCUACAUUUAUAAGUUUUAUUUUUUAUUAAAUAAAUACUUUUUUUUUUCAGAUUCACGAAUUUUUACGGAUUUACAGAAAUAAAUCCAUAUCUAAUCCAUCGACUGUGGUUUUUUAAAUUUUCAUUCCAAUCCGAUCUACCAAUCCACAAAUUAUAUUUUUACGGAUCGGACGAAUUGAGCGGAUCAAAUUGGGUUCUGAACACCCCUAGAGAAUGAGAAUCAAAAUAAAUUAUUUACUUUAGUUGUGUGAAUCGGAAUUGGAAUAAAUUGUACUGUCAUUGAUGUGUUUACUUUAUCUUGGAAUCAGAAUGAAUAAUUUCAAAUUACUAAACUGACCUUAAUUUUUUAUUGUAAUAAUAAUAGUAGUAGUAGUAGUAAUAGUAGUAAUUUUCUAUUAUUAUUAUUAUUUUCUCUCUCUUUUGUUUUUAUUUUUUUAUUUUUCUCUUCUUCUUCUCUUCCUCUUUUUUUAUUUUUCUCUAAUUCAUCGAUACUUCUUCUUCUUCUUUUUUCUUUCGUUUUUAUUUUUAAUUUUUCCCUUCUUUAUCGUUCCUUCUUCUCCGUCCAUUCUCUAUCUUCAAACUCUUUUUACUUUUUCUCUUAUUCUUCAUUACUUCUUCUCCCUUUUUUUUUUUUUUCUCUUCUUUAUUAAUUCUUCUUCUUCUGCGUCUAUUCUUCAUCUUCAAAUUAUCAAGUGAAAAAUACCCACGGUGCCUUACAAGAAGAAUUGGUUUUGUUUGCUUCAAUUAUUUUUUGUAUUUUGUACUUUUGAUUGUUUCAAAAGAGGAUAAACUUGUAAUAAUGCAAUUUAAGUAGGGAUGUUUUAGACAAUUUUGGGUAUGAGAGUCUAAUUCCCAACCCCCCACUCCCUCGUAGCAGACUCCCAUUCUUCAUUCCUAACUUGGUGUUGGACCUACUAAAAUAAAUCCCAUUCCCCUUCUUAUUUCAAGAAGCAAACACGAUUUUGAUUUCAAUUCCCCAAUCCGAAAGUAAACGCACAAAAAUUGUACCCAUAUGAGAUUGCUUAUCCUCGAGUUUUUAGAUUGAAAAAAAAAAAGGAAAAAAGAAUGGCCCCAUUAGGAAGGGAUUUUAAGUGUUAGAUAAAGCCGGUGUUAACCAUUAGAAGGUCUCCGACCUUCAACUGUAAUAUAUUAAACCCAGAUAAAUUUACAUAUAAAUCACACAAACCAACAUGCCAAUCAAAUAAAUUACAUCAACUAACAACAAUUGACACAUUAAUUUUCAUAAUACAGAGGAUGCAGAAAAUUAAAAUGUUUUAUCUUUUCUCCUUAUUUGUGAAUUGGAAAAUGAAAAUGUUAAACAUACAGAAGAGUGAAACAGGAUGGAUAUAUAUACACACACACACACACACAGCUUUGGAGUUCAAUGUCAUCGUAUUGCUCCAAGAAGAUUGGCGCCAUCAAGCUUUGCACCUUCCAGAUGCUGUUUAAUCAUCACCAUAACACCUUCAGUAGACAUUAAUACAUAAUAGAAACACAAAAUUCACAUGAUCUGAAUGUCUGGUCUAUUUUACUUACCGUAUCUCGAAGAUUUACGUGCCGUAAAUAAGCUCUUUGAAGGUUGGCACCCUUUAAAUUGGCAUUACGUAGCUUUGCACCCUGCCGCAUAAAUGUUCGAAGUUUCAACAAAUUAAAGUCUCCUGAGAAAUACAUGUCACGAAAAAGUAGGGCUGAAACUUGCAUCUAAUGUACAAGAUUCAAUCAGGGGUGCUUGUCCCACAGUGAAAGUGUAUGGGGGAAAGUGCACUUUCACAAACCAAAGGGGCAAGAUGUGAUUAUCACACGAUUACAAAAGGACUGUAGUCAAGAGAGAGAACUGAACAUGCAGCUUGUAUUGAGGCCAUGAAAAUUGAUGAAAAGCAGUAACAAGCAACCAUUUUGAAAACACUUCAUAUGGUCGAAUCAAUAAAUCAAAGCUAAAAUGAUGUUGACGAUCGAUAGCUUUUAGGUGAUAAGAGUCUUGGCACUACAGUUAAAAUUAUUAUCUAGGAGUGCACACAUUAAUAAAAAAAAACACAACCAAUAAGCAUGCACUCUUAAUCAGCAUAUAAAUUAACAAGUUAGUUGCACCUUAUGUUGUUCCACAAACAGAUUGCUCGAACAAUUCACAAUCUUACCUUCAAAUUAGCUCCUUCCAAAUUAGCUCCCUCUAGGUUGGCAUUAGUAAGAUCAGCAGUCUGAAAAGUCAAGAGGACAAACAGAUUGCAAUUUGAUUAAAAUCUCAAAGUAGCAACAUUCUGCAUGAAAGAAGAGCAGCACAAUUGGCAACAUACAUUUUAGAUUAAGAGGAUGGGAUAAAAGCAAAAUUACAAGGACAUGAAGCAAAUGAGCCAUGUUUAGUAUGGCAAUUUUGACCCAAUAAUUGUGGCAGGUCUUGGAGAUAACAUAGGCAUACACAUAAGGCAGAAGCAAAUACUGUCGCAAACUCCUAGCUAACUACAAAUGUUCCAUAUAGAAAAAAACACCUGCAAAAGUAAGGGAAAAAGCAACAGAUAAAGAACUCAAGAUGCUAGACCUGUAAGUGUGCAGAUCGCAGGUCUGCUCCACAGAAGCUGCAGUCUAUCAAGCAAGCAUCUGCAAUGAUUUAAGAUAAAUUUGAAUCCAAAUGACAUUUUACCGCAAGUAGUUCCAGCCAUUUUGGGAACAAACAAGAAAUGCUAUUUUGUAUUCAUUGUAAUUCCUUAAGCUAAAUAACAAUCAUGUGCUAUCUUAACCAAGGUACAGUUGCAAAUUCUGAAAUUGUGAUGCCAUAGGUUGUUCUUAAUCUUUUUGAACUGAAUAUUGAAAAAAUAUUCCUUCAAUCAUAAAUGUUAAAUAAUUAAAAGAACUGUGAGGGGGGNNNNNNNNNNNNNNNNNNNNNNNNNNNNNNNNNNNNNNNNNNNNNNNNNNNNNNNNNNNNNNNNNNNNNNNNNNNNNNNNNNNNNNNNNNNNNNNNNNNNNNNNNNNNNNNNNNGGGGGGGGGGGGGGGGGAAUGAAUAAGCGGAUGCAUACAGAAAAUUAUGGAAAAUCUGUUAUGGAAAUAAUAUGAAAAUGGGUAUGCAUAACUACAUACUGAAUCUUGACUAAUUUCAAUUUAAUUCAGAUAAGAAAUUCCAGUAUGGGAAUUGCCUUGUAAAUUUGCACUCUGAAGAUUUGCACCAGCUAGUAAAGCUCCACGAAGGUUUGCCCCAGCAAAUUCACAUCUUCCCUAGGCAAGAUAAAACCCUUAAAAGGCAAUUUUGAAAAAUACAUAUAAUUGGGAGAAUAUCCAGUAUUGCUUUGACUCUCUUACUCACGCAAAGUUGCAUUGUGAAAAAUGGAACCCUCAGCAUCCACAUCCUGUAUCAAGAACAGACAGAUUCAGUAUGAUUAAUAUAACUGGUUGCUGGAAGACAGGACAAAAUCGCAUCUUGUCACUGUCAACUUGCAUGUUAAGAAUUAAACACGAAAACUGCAUGCUGUCCAAUUAUAAGAAACCUAUAAAAUUCAAAUCAACAUCAAUACUGGCUUAAGGAAGAUAUAAAAAUAAAAAUUAUACCAACCCGAAAUUUCGCAGAUUGAAGAUUUGCACGUGAGAAGAAAACAUUUCUAAGACACGCAUAGCUGAAGUCCACAAGUGAAAGAUCCUGGCCAUUUUAAUAAGAUAGCAUCAGAGGAAACAAUAUCUAAUGAAUAUAUAAUGUUCUUUCUUGCUUAUCUGAGAAUACUAAUGAGAUUAUCAAAAAAACUCUAAGCUACUGCUAAGAAGUCUUGUGUUACAUGAGUAUGAAUUGAGGAGGUAAAGAAGACCCUUCUCCAAUAAGUUACCAUAGAAGCCACAUAAAACCCUAAAGCAGUUACAAACUUACAAUGACCAGAAUAAACCACCCCAACUAUCUAUUGGCAAGUAAAAUCACUUCUCUGGAUUUCUGAAAACUAGCAAAACAAAUGCAUAAAUUGGCAAAUUCGAUGAUUUCCUCUGAAAACCAAAUUAUAGCAGACAUAAAACUUGGAAGUAUUCAUAGAAUAAAAAUCUUUCAAGCACCUCAAUUCAGUAAUUAUUACCAGCUUAGAAAGAUCAAGGCCAGAAAGAUUAAGUCCUCGAAAUCUGACUUUUUCAGACUGUAUACACUUGAUGAUAUCAAUGCGUGUUAGCUCAGUAUCUAACUCAUUAUCUUCCUUUCUCUUAUUUAUGACAGCAUGGAUUCUCUCAAUUAGUCCCUGAAAUGAAACACAUUAGAUGCAAACUAUUAUUUGAAAAAAGAAAUACAUUUUAUCCACUAACACACAUGGAUUUCAACAGCAAUCAUACAAUAAUUGAGGAAGGACGGUCAUAUCAGACUCAUCUGCCAAGAUUCAAUAAGCACAUCAAACUUGUUUACAUGUAAUUUCCACAUUCCACGUGAAUUUAUAAGGUCUGCCUAAGCAAACCAAAGAAGGCUACACUCAGUACUGUGUGUAUACUGCCUUACCUUUGCUGUUCCCCAGAUACCGUCCUGCAAUCCAGAUACUUAGCUGUGAAGUUUCAAGCCAGCGAAACCAUUUUAAAAGUACACAUGGACACAGAUACCAUUAUCUGAAUCAUCUUCGAUAACAAAUUAAAAUGCCCUAGCGUUCAAAAAACUUAGGAUCUCUUUAAGUGAAGUUCCUUUAAAAAAGUAGAAAAAAACUGAACAACAAUGUCAUGCUAAUAAAAGGUAAAAAAAAUAAAAUAAAAUAAAGCAUAAGGACAGAAGUUCACCAGGAGCAUGCCAGUAUAAACCAAAACGACCACAAAUCUCAACCAUAAAAUUUAAAGUAGUAAAGUAAAUAAUCAAGGGCAUGCAGUUGGCACAGGUGCUUCCAAAUAAAAUGAUGAUUCUUUUCAAACAGAAAAAAGAAAUGGAUGUUAAUAAACUAGAAGAAACCAUGUCUUACAAGUAAUUGAUAAUAUUCUGCUUCCCGUAGAAGCUCUAAAAACUCUGACUCUGUUAAUGUGGGGACAGCCCCAUCCCUUAACCAAUUCAGAAUAUGCCGAAAAUGUUUUCCGUCCCUAUCAACAAAGAUAUAGCCCUGCAAUAAUUCAAUAUGCUCAAAGAUAAGAAUCUGAAUAAUAUACCCAAGAGAAGUGCUUUUCCCUGGAAUAAUAAAAAGAAAAUAAGUCAAAACGUUUUUCUUAAUGGAAGAACACAAAGGAACAGCUCUAUGACUAACAUGAAAACCAUAAAUCAGAAUAAGAACCCAAAACUGGUCAUUUGGAGUUUCACCAGAUCAAAAAGAUCACAUGGAAAUAAAAUUGUGAAAAUGGGAUUAUUUAUGCCGAGGUCAUGGCUAAACUGCAAUCAUUACUCCAUUUUUGGUAGAAGGAGAAGAAGAAAGAAGAGUAGGUGAGUCAUCAUUCUUUCAGGUGAGUCAUCAUUCUUUCUCUGUGAUUAAUUGAUAUGAUGGAAGUGUUGUAGAUAUUAAUUUGAUAGUGAUUCCUCCCUUCAAAAGAAUUCAUUCCUUUUUUUAUUAUUUCACAAAGUUUAACUAAGACUGAGUUUUCUCAAUUUGAAGGCAUCGUGCACUCUACCCCUUUCUUUUCCUCACAUUGCUUCUUCCCAAUCCCAAAGGGAAGAAAUCAAGAAACAAUUACAAUUUUUAACUAUUCACCAGCAAAAACAAGGCAAAGAAAGAUGCUGAGUGUAAGCAAAAAUAAGAGAGUUAUACACCUCAGAGUCUUGGCACACAGUAUGGCGACCGCUGAACAUAGCUGCAAGCAUAGAUUCAGGCUCACGACGAGUCAGAGUAUCAAUUGUUGUAUAAAAUUUCUUUCCCCCUGGAUAUUAAUACAUAAAAUAUAAAUUUGUUCACUUAAAAGCAUGAAUUGUGCAAAUUUGUCAAUAAUGUCAUUCUUUCACAAACGUUCACCGAAAUGUAUAACAAUAAGUGCAUCAUAACAUAACUAAACGGCUUAAGAACUGCGCAGAUAUUACAUACAGUAGAGAAACAAGAAAUAGAAAAUGAGAUUUGCCCUUUUUAAACAGAAAGCAAUCAAAGAGUAAACUAAAGAGCUAAUAAUUCACAAAAUUCAGUUGAUUAAACUCAUUUACAAGUAAUUAGCAACAAAAUCCAAGCUAAAUAAAAAUAAUGAAAAUUAGGUUCUUAUAACAUCCGUCAAUUCUAUGAAAGUUUACCACGAUCAGCAACAAAUAGAUAAAUCGCAAUAAAGAAAAACCGACGACAUGUCGGUUGUGUAGUGCAUAAGUAAAGGAAUUUGCAGAUGAUGUAAAGAGAAUGAGGGAUAGUAACUGACCGAUGUUGAGACGAACCAUUGAAGACGAAUCGGAGUCCUUCGCCAUUGUCGAGUGUAAUGACUUGUCGUCUUACUUGCGCUCAUAGGUAUUUAUAUCAUAGCUGACACUGUUCGAAGGACAGCAAGGAUUUGGUGGGCACAAAUGCAUUUUGGAAAUUGGGCUUCGGCCCAAGAAAUCGAAAAUCAGAGGCUUUUUUUUAAAAAAAAUUUAAAAGGAUUAGAAUGUCUAUAAAUUAAUAGGGCUGAGACCAUCUUAAAUCUAUUAAGUAAAAGAGAUAUUAAAUAUUUUAUUAAUUAAUAAUUUAUUAAUUUACAGAAUUAUUUAUAAUUCAAUUAACAUACAUUUAAUAACUAAACAUUCAAUGUACAUAAUUUCUGAUUACAAUUCAAAGCACUAACAAUACUUCAUAAUUUCUUAUUACAAUUCAAGAAUUCAACCUCAUAGCUUUUAGAUGCAAUAAGAAAAAUAAGAAAUAAGAUUCAGUUAUAUUUAAAUUUUAAGAAAAAAACAAUAAAAUCAUAUUUUAUGUAAUUAAAAUAUCAUAGUCAACUACAUUUGUAAUUUCAACAAAUUAUUACUCUAUGAUUUAAAUGAGACCACAAAGUUAUAUAAGAUUUUAUCGAAAUUAUUAAUUUAAUCCAUUAGUCCAUGUCAAGACCUUGAAAAUUUAAUAAUUAUAUAAUAGAGAUUAUUAAUUUAUCGAGUAUUAAUUUAUAGAAGUUCUGAUUGUAUAUUAUUUUAUAUUAAUAAAGAAUAAAGUAGCAUUCUUUUUUAAUUCCGAAGUAAUAAAAUUAUGGCUAAAUUAAGAGAGUAGAUAUAUUUUAUAACUUGGUUUAAUAACAUCACGCGCCUCCCUUGUAGUUUUGCAGCUUUGAAGCUUUAUAAUGAAUCCUAUUAGCUUUGGCUGGAAAGUUAUAUUGUUAAAGAGAGUUUAUAUAUUAAACAAGGUGAUCUAAUAUUUCCAAAACUAAAUUUGGGAUCAAAAAUAGAAAACAUUUGCAUGUUUUUACCUUUUGGAAGAAUUACUUGAUAAGUGCUUCACAGAAAAAUGCUUGCUAUUAUAGAGCACCCUAAAAAAAAUCCUUAAUAAUUGAGGGAUCAUAAUAAAGUUCAAUUCUAAAUCUGUCAGAUAGAUCGAAAGUAACAAACCAUAUAUAUUUAAAUCUAUUUAGUAAUCCAGGGUUACAAGCCAAGCGUGCAAUAGCCAAUUCUGAAAAUCAAAGCUCAGCCUAUGCUCUCUGAGCACAAAUAAGAUCUGAUAUAUACAUAUCGAAUCCUCCAUUAUGUGGAGUGAAAUUUCCAUCGUGUACGGUGUACCUAACAAUGAGAAAGCAUGGCAGCAUAAAUUCAUCUUCCAUGUUAUUCUACUUAUUAGUACUGGUUCCCUCAUAACUUCUCCAAAUCGGGGAGGUCUGCAAUGUGUAAAGCACGUAAUCAGAUAAAAGAAAGAGAGCCAAAAAAAAAAAAAAAGGUAACAGCCAAAAGAUUAAAUUUCUUUGAGAAAUAGAAAAUGGGAGCUUUUGGCAUAGGCACAGAAUAGAAAGUAACAGAGUCAUUUACAGUUGUUCAGAAUAUGCAAGCUGAAAACAACUUUGAAUGCAAUGGACAAUUCCUCCAACAAACAAUCGAAUUGGAUUGUGGAAGAGACAAAAGCUUAAUGAGGUUAUGGUUUUGGCUAGGUGAACUCAAAAUUCUUUUAUAGACCAAGUAGGUAAAAACAAAUCCCAUAUAGAUGGAUGAACCUCAUACCAUGAACAGUUAAUCGCGAACACUUGCAGGCUUAUGCACACGACUAUGAAGAUACUAAGGGUUUCACCGAUGGUAAGUGAAAAAUAUAUGAUGUAUAAUUUAAAUGGAAGCACAUAGUUUCGGAUUGAAUUCAAGGUUAAAGUUCCACAGACAGACAGAAGAGAUGAAGCUUAAAAACUUACAGAGCAUUCCUUCAUCAUCACUGCUUUCAUCAUUUUGGCCAACAUGCUGAAAAAAGAAUAUGAUUCAAGUUAAAUGAUUGAGCAACAAUAAAAAACGUGCAAAAUUAAUGCUCUCUCCACAAAAAUUUCAGUCUAUAUUGGUAAGAAGAAACAGGAAGAAAAAAUUACCUCAGCAUCAUCGUCAUUGGAAGCCAAAUCAGCUGUAAAGACCACAAAAUGUUUGGUUAGAACCAGUGGAAGUCUUACUCUAAAAUUUUUAAUUUUUGAAUUUCGAAAGAUCUCGUAAUGACAAAGAUUUUCAUAUCCAGUGACCAAGUUUUGAAAAUUAGAAUACGGAAUGACAUCAACUAAAUUCACUAAUAUAAGCUAGAGGAAUCCCUAGUAGAUAUAGCGCACAUGCACACAUGAUAUGCAUCCGAAUACACAAUAAUAAAUUAUCUCAAAGUCAAUAAGAAGCCAAAAUUAGAGAUAAACUUUUAGCCACUAUAAGGAAGACUGAUAUUUGCAGUGUGAUUACAAUAAACAAACAGAAACUUCACUACCCAUAAGUAAAACAAAAUAAAUAAAGGAUAAUAACUAACCAAGAAAUGGAAAAGCUCACAUUCUCUGAACACGCACCCCAAAAAGAAAGAAAGAAAUAAAUGUUCUCAUUGGAUCUGAAGCACAAGCAAUCCACUGACAUCCUUCUAUAAUUAGGUAAUUUAAAGGGGUUAAGCUCACAUCUUUUACGGAAGUAAGAAGAGAAUUAACAACCUUCCAGAGGAUUUAGGGAAAUACCACGAGGCAAGAAAAAAGAAAUAUCCUUCUUCAAUCUAGAUAUCCUGAUACUGCUCACCAUCUACAACAGUCUGUGGCUUAAAAAGCAGGUCACUGAUCUCUCCCUCCCUCUGGCACCAUUUUCUCUCAUGUCUCAUUUUUCCCUUCCUGCCAACUCCCACUACAGUAUUGAAACCUAUUCUAUCAACUCUUCCCCCUCCAAUAACAAGACCAAAACCAAUUUUACUCGCCGGUUAGCUAGGUAGUAAAUGGAAAUUUGUGAAUCUGUCAUUCAUCCGUAGAAACAAACCAGAACUGCAUAAAUUCUCUUCUCUCCCAACAGCUUCUUUUCUCCAGAAAUAGGCACAAGUAUUUGACAUGGAAACAGUUUAUCUAACAUGGCCACCUUUAAAGACAAAGACAUACUAAGGACGUGGUUUUAGAUACGGAUACAAGAAACAAUCACAAAAUGUAAAAUCUAUACAUAUGAUAUUAAUUUCCAAUGGAUACAGCAAUUCAUUCUUUGACAUAACUUCAUCAGAUUACUAGGUUUGAUUAGGUUAUACACACAUUUAUUCAUUUAUUGAAUCUACAUGCACUUAGAAUGAGAGGUACCUAUAAAAACAAGUUACCAGAAAACAAUACAGCUAGAAAACAUUAAUCUAAGUAGUUCUAUAGGUUUAACUAACUGCAGGAAAAAACCAUUGAUUUUGUCCGCCAGAUUAUCGAGAUCCUAAUUCUGGUAAAAAGAAAAUGAGAUAAUAGAAAAUCAAAAAUUAAAUAGACACAAAAUGAGAAAUCAAGAUCAUAUGGCAACUAAUAUAUAGCAUGGGCUGCAGCUAACAAGCAAUAUAAGCCAUGAUAUUAUGCCAGAUACAAAUUUUGAGAUCCAAGAGAGAUCAAGAAGCAUGAAUACCACUAAAAUAUCGAAAGAAGUGAGUGCAGAAGGAUAAGAAAUCAGGUUGAUAUUCUUCAUACUUUGGAUCAACACGUAGUGAUGCAAUAAACUUGUAAUUAGCUUCAAAUGUAUAGGCUACCAUGUCAACAUUUCCGAAAACACACAAGAUUGUGCUGGAUUCAUACAUAGUACAUAUAUAAAAAAACAAUCUGCUUCUAAACUUCAUGAGAACAUCGAAUAAUGAACUUACAAUUUGAUCCCUCAUCAUCUUCAUCGCACCAUUUGUUCCAAUCAACCUUAAUGUAAGGUGCUGGUUUCUCUUCUGACUUGAGUAGCCUUUUCCACCAACCUUUCUCUUCUUUUUGGACCGAGCAUAUUAUGUUCCUUAAGCCAACUUUAGUCUUACAUUUCUGCACCACCAGCAACAAAACUCAAAGCAUUACAAAAGAGGUAUAUUUAGCCGCUCUUGACUCGAGUGAGAGAACAGGAUAAAUAGCCUAGGUAUAUCCACAUCCAUGUUAUGAGAUUGAUUAUGCAACAGCUAACUUUAAUAUAAAGCUUUUGCUUCAACAAAGACUAAAAUGUUUGUAAUUGUUAUGCUUUUGGAGCUAAAAUGUUUGGCAAACACCCACUUUUACUCUGCACCUAAUAUCUACCACCCACCCACACACUAAGUCUCUCGUUUGGUACAGCUAUUUAUCAGUAGUGGCUUUAAGCCACAACAUUUAAAGCGAAUUUACCCUAAAAUUUUACAAUGAAAAACCUAUACUACCUUUAACAUUGUUGUCAAAAUUAUUAUUAUAAGUAAUAUUUACCAAACACUAUCAACUUCCAAUUCAUAUCAAAGAGCUUUCACUCCACAAUAGCCGUGUCUUCUUAAGCCAGAACAACACAAUACCAAAGGCCUUAAGCUAGUGAUUUGAUUUCACAACAACUGCAGAUCAAGCCUCAAUCCCAAACAUACAUAAAUCAAAUGCAGAAAGCAAAAAUUUAACAAUAUGUUUGGUAUACUAAAUGUCUUUCAUAGUUUCAUUUCACAGGGUAUUUAGACAUGCAAUGAUAAAUUGGAGCAAUUUCAAGAACCGAAUUGACCUCAGGUAAAAUUUUGCCAAAAAGUUCCAAGCUGAAGUCGUAAAGCUCGCCUUGGACUCCGACGGCCGAGAAGCCAAAAAUCCCCUGAGGCUCGCAUUUCACAGAAAUGUCUUUCGCAUCGGGUAAUGAAAUGGUAAGGUAUACUUUAUCGGAGCGCUGAGCCCAAAGAACCUCCGGAUGGCGACUGAACAUAAAAGAAAUAAUAAUAAUAAUAAUAUUAUUAUUUUUUAUUGUGACAAUUUUGAACUAAUAAUUAGAGACAUUUAACAACAAUAUUGAUUAAUAUUGGAGAAGAAAAAUAAGGUUACAAGAGAGAAUCAGAAAGAUUACCUCAUUCUGGUGGAUGAUUGAAAACGGUGGGUCGAUUGAUGAACAGAAGUGUAACUGUCUGGGAGUGAGAGUGACUCUGCUGUUUACUGGGUAGAGUGUGCUUACUCGAAGAAAUUGAAAGUGAUAAUCUCGGGCAAGCCAACACGUCGAUUUGGUCAACAGUGGUCCAACAAACCAGGAACUAGGUUUUUUUUUUUAAAUGAUUUUUUUUUUCAGUAUUAUAUUGCCCCGCCCGUGGGCUAUUACAUUUUGGCCCUUUUGGGGACCCCUCGUUCUCUUACAAGAAGGGAAUAUUCUUUUCCAUCCACCGGUUUGUAGGCAGAGUACAUAUACUCUUCGAAAUUAAGGACAAAUUUCUGAAUCGUGCCGCAUUAGAAUUAAAUUGAGUCUCAAAAGAAUUUUGGUUAUAAGUAUAUCGUUCAAACGGUAAUAUAUUAAAAAAAAUAAUAUUUACUACAAUGUAGACCUAUCGGGACUUUGAAGCCCAGACCAAUUCUUGAGUCUAGCCUAAUAACACCUCAACAGAUCAAAAUUGAAAUCCAACUUAAAUUUCAAUAUUGUGUAGGGAUCUGCCUUAAUUUAGAUAUGUCAAGACCUGCCUUAGGCAUCAAAGUGAUCUAUCUUAACAUAACUAAGACUUUCUUUAAACAUCACAAUGAUUUAUCUUAACGUAGUCAAAUCUAGCCUAAAAAAAUCUAAAGAAGGAAAAAAGAAAUUAUUUUCACGUAUUGAGAGACUUAAAUUCUUAACCUUAUUCAUAAGAAAAAAAAGUGUAUUACUUAACUAAAUCGUGACUAAAAAUUAUAAUUAUUAUUUUUUGUACAUUUAGCUUUAAAAAAUCAUUAUAUAUAUAUAUUCAUAUAAGUUUUGACAUAAUAUACAUACCACUUAUUUGUUUUUUAAAUUAUACGAGAAUGAAAAAACUCAAGCAUUAAACACCAACUUUUGUUUCAUGCUAUCAAUCAACUUGAGAAAUUUUAUAAUAUAUCGGAAGUUCUACGUCACAAUUUAAUACGAAGCCUUCGAUUAAUAAUAAUUAGACACAUGACAAUAGAUGCUAGAGAAAUUUUAAAUUCCCUCUUUUCAUUAUCCCUCCAAAUUUAGAAUUUCAAAAAAUUAGAGAAUAAAUGUUGCUUGCUCUCUUUGUUAUCUAAUUCUAAUUAUUAUUUUUUUCUCUCUCUCUCCAAUCAAGUUGCUAGCAUUUUUUAAAUCUAUUGAAGAAUAAGAAGAAGGUUUUUGUCGAUGAAAUGAUUUUGGCAGCCUUUUUUACCCAAAGCUAACAUGAUUGCUGCGACUACCAAUGAAGAAAAAGAUGUGUUUUGCUGGCGAAGAAGAUGAUUUUUGAAGCAUGAGUGGCUGCCGUUUAUUUUUUUCCUUCAUAUUUUUCGAUGUAGUGGCUGUCCUCAAGUUUUAUUCAUUUACUUUUCAGUUGGCCUACUAUUUAUUGGCAUAAUGAAAAAUUUUAUUUUAAUAAGCAUUUAUAGAUUAAUUUGAGGAG